UUACGGCCACAUCACGUUAAAACACCGGUUCACAUACGAUCAACGAAGAUAAGCAACGUCGAGCCUGGUCAGUACCUAGAUAGGUGACCGCUUAGAAAUACCGGGUGCUGUAA